UACGUAGGGUGCAAGCGUUAAUCGGAAUUACUGGGCGUAAAGCGUGCGCAGGCGGUGAUGUAAGACAGGUGUGAAAUCCCCGGGCUUAACCUGGGAACUGCAUUUGUGACUGCAUCGCUGGAGUGCGGCAGAGGGGGAUGGAAUUCCGCGUGUAGCAGUGAAAUGCGUAGAUAUGCGGAGGAACACCGAUGGCGAAGGCAAUCCCCUGGGCCUGCACUGACGCUCAUGCACGAAAGCGUGGGGAGCAAACAGA
rnacentral:rRNA from 1 species